rnacentral:rRNA from 1 species
CCUACGGGUGACAGCAGUGGGGGAUAUUGCACAAUGGGGGAAACCCUGAUGCAGCGACGCCGCGUGGGUGAAGAAGUAUUUCGGUAUGUAAAGCCCUAUCAGCAGGGAAGAAAGAAGACGGUACCUGACUAAGAAGCCCCGGCUAACUACGUGCCAGCAGCCGCGGUAAUACGGAGGGGGCGAGCGUUAUCCGGAUUCACUGGGUGUAAAGGGAGCGUAGACGGCCGUGCAAGCCAGGAGUGAAAGCCCGGGGCCCAACCCCGGGACUGCUCUUGGAACUGUGCGGCUGGAGUGCGGGAGGGGCAGGCGGAAUUCCUGGGGUAGCGGUGAAAUGCGUAGAUAUCAGGAGGAACACCGGCGGCGAAGGCGGCCUGCUGGACCGCGACUGACGUUGAGGCUCGAAAGCGUGGGGAGCGAACAGGAUUAGAUACCCUUGUAGUC